rnacentral:rRNA from 1 species
UACGUAGGGUGCAAGCGUUGUCCGGAAUUAUUGGGCGUAAAGGGCGCGUAGGCGGCUCGGCACGUCCGUUGUGAAAUCGCCCGGCUCAACUGGGCGGGGUCAGCGGAUACGGUCGAGCUUGAGCAAGCUAGGGGGCAAUGGAAUUCCCGGUGUAGUGGUGGAAUGCGUAGAUAUCGGGAGGAACGCCAGUGGCGAAGGCGGUUGCCUGGGGCUUUGCUGACGCUGAUGCGCGAAAGCGUGGGGAGCGAUCCGG